rnacentral:rRNA from 1 species
CCUACGGGAGGCAGCAGUGGGGAAUCUUGGACAAUGGGCGCAAGCCUGAUCCAGCAAUGCCGCGUGGGUGAAGAAGGCCUGCGGGUUGUAAAGCCCUUUCGGUGGGGAGGAACGGUCUGGUGCUAAGAGCGCUGGGCCUUGUCGUUACCCACAGAAGAAGCACCGGCCAACUCCGUGCCAGCAGCCGCGGUAAUACGGAGGGUGCGAGCGUUAAUCGGAAUUACUGGGCGUAAAGGGCGCGUAGGCGGUGCGUGGAGUCAGCUGUGAAAUCCCUCGGCUCAACCGGGGAACUGCGUCUGAUACUGGAAGGCUUGAAUCCGGGAGAGGGAUGCGGAAUUCCAGGUGUAGGGGUGAAAUCUGUAGAUAUCAGGAAGAACACCGGUGGCGAAGGCGGGCUUCUACUCAAGGACUGACGCUGAGGCGCGAAAGCGUGGGGAGCAAACAGGAUUAGAUACCCUGGUAGUCCACGCUGUAAACGAUGUGCACUAGGCGUGGGGCGCGGUUCGCGCUCUGUGCCGUAGCUAACGUGAUAAGUGCACCGCCUGGGGAGUAUGCUCGCAAGGGUGAAACUCAAAGGAAUUGACGG